rnacentral:rRNA from 1 species
CGCGUAGGUGGUUUGAUAAGCGAGAUGUGAAAGCCCCGGGCUUAACCUGGGAACGGCAUUUCGAACUGUCAGGCUAGAGUAUGGUAGAGGAGUGUGGAAUUUCCUGUGUAUCGGUGAAAUGCGUAGAUAUAGGAAGGAACACCAGUGGCGAAGGCGGCACUCUGGACCAAUACUGACACUGAGGUGCGAAAGCGUGGGGAGCAAACA